rnacentral:lncRNA from 1 species
AGGAACCACAGUUGGAAGCAAUGCAUUCGGUUGACCCAAUGUAGACCAAAGAGUCACUCUUGGAAAUAUUGAAUAUUGGGAAUUGUAGGCCUCAUCGUUACUCACUGAACAGAGCACCCGAAUAAUCUUCCAUACCAUCCAGUCAGAAGCACUGGCAAGUAAAAUUUUAUAGCAGGCCCUCUCAAUAGUAGAGUAUUCGACAUUAACUGACCAUGCAAUUGUCCAUUGAAAUUUUCCAGAGCCCGAGAAAAUGAGGCAUGAGCUAACACUGUCUUGCAAGAAGCCAUCAAUCAUCAGCUCAGGACCACGGACUAACAUGUAUAUUGGGCUUCCAUCAGUAGAUGUCAAUUUGAGUAACGAAGCAAUAUGAUCGACGAUAACUGAGAUGAGCACACAGGAGCAUUCAACAUUAGAAAAAGAAGCAACACCAU